AAUAUCCCUUGUAUCACUUUCCUUUGGAGGAUACACUGCAGCCCCACCGCUCCCAAUAUAAACACUUUCGGGAACUUUAAAAGAUGCCUACCACCAUUUGUCUCUCAUGAAGAUGUGAACUGCGACUGGAAACAGCUCAGUCUCUCACAGAUUGUAAAACUCAGAAGUAUAAUAUCCUUGGCACUAAGGGAAAGCACAAUGACACAGAAGGAAAUAUAGAAGUCCCCAAAUUAGGAAUCUUGGAUUUUAGACCCAGUGUUCCCUUAACUGCUUAAAGUGUGACCUCAAAUAGGAUCUCGCUGAUGCCCUGGAUACUGCCACAAGGGAUUCGCGUGGGCUGGAGUGCAGUAGCACCAUCACAGCUCACUGCAGCUGCAGGAUCACAGUUCAUUGCCCCUUCAACUUCCUGGCCUCAAGCCAUCCUUCUGCCUUGGCCUCCUGAGUAGCUUGGACUACUGGUGCUAGCCACCAUGCCCAGGAGGAUGAAAUUUAACCACAUCAAAGAAACCUACAGCUCUGAUACUCUCAGAAAAAAUAAGACUCAACACAAAGAGAGUAAAAAGAGUUAUUCUGUCAACGAAGGGUCUUGACCGAAUAAUGUAUACAUCAGAUCUUUUCAUCUUGCACUUCUUGGACACUGUGAUUCAAAAGGGAGAUUAUUUGUGUCAGUAAAGAAGUAUCCAUAAUGAUAAAACACAAGUACUUCAAAGAACAACCUGUGCUUCUCAAAAGGAAAAUAGUUUGGAUCCAUUUACUUUUCUCCUCUACUUCACAUUCUAAAUGACUGAGAAAAUGUCUUCUCGUUUUCAAUACAACCCAUGGGAAAUCAUACUCAAAUAAGUAGUAACUGAAUGAACUAAUCUGGAAAAGUGGUCCUCAAUUUGUUUCUGUAAUAUCAGCUAUCACAAUACUGCCUUGAUAUUUCAUACAAUUCUGCAGAGUAUAAAAAAGCAAAAGCCUCUAAAAGUUGGUACUAGAAUGUACUACACGCUCAAUAUAGACCACAAAAUGGAUCAGACAUGAAGCUUAGUAUUGUCUGUGUGCACAGUGUUUAAAUAUUCCCUUGUUUUAAAAGUGCCAGUGUUUGUUAAGUAACUUAAAAUAUUUGCCACAUGUAGCUUAUUUUUUUUACUUUUUAUUAUAUUUUUGUCAUAGGUAAAAAAGUGAAAAGAUUUAUGACAGUCAUUUUUUUAAAACUAAGUUAAGCUAUAUAAAUUGUUGUGAAAUAAAAUACAUUUUAAUUAUAUACAAUAAAGAUCCUAAUUUUAAUUUGCAAGUAUUUUCAAGAUUACAAGUAACGUUAUCAAUUGUUUUACUUAUAACAAUAUUCCUAGGGUGUCUACAUUUAAUAAUUCUAAGUUUUUAAAACAAUUUUAAACUAUUUCAUUUAACAGACAAUACAAACUAACUAAGAUAAAUUGAGAAAUAUAAAUAUCCCUCACCUGUGUUUUUAAAAUUAGAGACAACUUUUGUAUCAUUCCAGAUAUAAUUUAUACCUAUAUAAAUGUGUUUAUUUUAAAUGUGCCAUUUAAAAGAACUGGUUUAUGCUUUGAAAUGGCUGCAUAAUAUUCUACUCUACCUAGAUACCAUUAAAUAUUGAAUCAGCUCUCUAUUGUGUGUUUUUUGCUGUUGUUACUGACAGAUUUUGUAAUUACAAUGCAGAUUAAAAACUUGUUUUAAAAAAUGUGAUUUUGCUCAUAGACAUAUGUCUUUAGAAUACAUUCGUCAUAGUACAAUUGCUGAGACAAAGAGUUUACGCAUUUGGAAAUUUUAUAAAUAUUAUCACAUUGCUUUCUAUCAAUAUCAUCUCACAAGUAUAAUGACAAGUGAAAGAUACUAGGUAUGAACAUUUAUGUAGUAUUCAAAAGCAGAUAAGUUUAUUACCCUGUCAGAAGAUAGCAAAAUGAUUAACUUUAUGAAGGUUUCAAGCACUUAGUUUGAGGGAAGGCAGGAUAGGCAGUUUCAUGAGAAAGGUAUGUCCCAUCUCUUGAUCAGGGUGAAGUUUAAAUGGAGUUGUUUCCUUGAUGAUGCAUCAAAGUCACCACUUGAAAUUUGAUUACUUUUUAAUAUAUGCUAUACUUCAAAAUGUUUAUUAACAUGCAAAUCAUAUAAUGAAUUCCAUUAAUUUAGUGAGAGAAAUUUUUUUUAUAUGCUUCGAAGUCAUUUGUUUUGUUGUUUGCGUUUACUCAGAACAGUGUGUCAAUCUCCUUGACUGAUAUUUCUAUUGUUUCUAGCAGGUCAUUUAAUAGUUUAUAAUGUUUAUAUUUUCAAAGUUUAUUGGGGUGUAAUUUAUUUAUAAUACUGUACAUAUUUAAAGUUCAAAAUAAGUUAAGCCUUAACAUGUAUAUACAGCCAUGAACACAUAACCAUAAAGUAGGUCCUAAAUAUAUUCACCACUCACAAAUGUUUCCUUGUGAACCUUUGUCAUUCCACCCGCCCUUACUUCUUCCGCAUAAUCUCCAUCUAUAGCAACUACCAAUCUAUUUUCUGUUAUUAUAAAUUAAUGUGCAUUUUCUGGAAUUUUAUAUAAAUGGAAUCAUAUCAUAUGUACUUUGUUUUGUCUUGUUUUUUCAGUAAAAUUAUUUUGAGAUUCAUACAUGUUGUUACAUGUAUCAAUAGUUCAUUACUUUUUAUUGUUGAGUAGUAUUUCAUCAUAUGGAUAUGCCACAAUGUGUUCACACCUUAACAUAAAUUUGUCAAUGUAGUUUCCAGUCAUUGGUUAUUAAAUAUAAAGUUUCUUGAAAACUGAUCUAUAAGUAUUGAUAUGGAAUGUGAUUUCUUUUCUCUUGGGUAAAUUCCUGGAAGAAAAUUGGUUCUAUCAAAUGGUGUUUGCAUGUUUAACAGUUAUAGCCAAACCAUUUUCCAAAGUGGUUGUAAUAUUUUACAUUCCUCACAGCAGUGUAUGAGAAAUCAAAUUGUUCCAAAAGUUUGCUAAGACUUGUACAUUUAGAUGUAUCACCAAUUUUGGGUAAAUUUUUGUACUAAUUGUGAGUUGCAAUUGAGGUUCACUUUUUUAUAUGGAUACUCCUUUUUUUACACAAUACAUGUUGAAAGCAUCACCUUGUAUUAAUUGAACUGCCUUUGCAUCUUAUUAAAAUCAGUUUCAAUAUAUGUGAGGUUCUAUUUCUGAACUCUAUUCUCUGUUACAUUGAUUUAUGUGAACACUUUUUCACUGAAGCCACACUAUUUUGAGAACUGUAGUCUUGAAAUUGAGUAUUGGUAAUCCUCUAAAUGUGUUUGUUUUUAUAAAAAUUGUUUUGGCUAUUUAGAUCACUUUGCCAUUCAAAUAAAAUUUAAAAUCUGCUUGUUGAUAGCUACAGAAAAGUUACUGGCAUUUUAACUAGGAAUACAUUAAACUUAUAGAUAAGAUUGAGGAGAAUUGCCAUUUUAUUCUUCCAAUUAAUGGCUAUAUUACAUG
rnacentral:lncRNA from 1 species